AUACGGAGGAUGCGAGCGUUAUCCGGAUUUAUUGGGUUUAAAGGGUGCGUAGGCUGUGCGUUAAGUCAGGGGUGAAAUGCCGUCGCUCAACGACGGAGCUGCCCUUGAUACUGGCGUGCUGGAGUACGGAUGCCGUUGGAGGAAUGAGUGGUGUAGCGGUGAAAUGCUUAGAUAUCAGUCAGAACACCGAUUGCGAAGGCAUGUGACGAAUCCGUCACGGACGCUGAGGCACGAAAGCGUGGGGAAAGAACAGGAUUAGAUACCCUGGUAUUCCACGCCGUAAACGAUGAUGACUAACCGUCGGCGAUAGACAGCCGGUGGCCAAGCGAAAGCGAUAAGUCAUCCGCCUGGGGAGUACGUCGGCAACGAUGAAACUCAAAUGAAUUGACGGGG
rnacentral:rRNA from 1 species